AGACUCUAAUUUCCUUGAAGAAAGGGGAUUCCAUCUUAUGCCUUGCUAUAUGACCACCAGCUCUUGAAUUGAUGCUCCUAUGUGGUGGCUCCUUGGUGUGAUGGCUCCAAUAUCCAAGGGUGAGCAUGCUGGAGGCCAAAGUGGAAAGCUGCAUGUCCUUUUAUGAUCCAGACUUGGAAGUCACUCUGCAUCUCUUCUGCUGAAUCCAACAAGUUACUGUCAAAGCUAAACAGUAAAAUGAUGAGAAUAGAUUGUAAUCAGCAGUAACUAUGGCACUAGCCUUUUCAGAAGGAUAUGAGAGUUGAUGCAAAGAUGGAGCCGCUUAGAUAAGGAGAGUUUGAUCAGUUAAGAUUGCUUUGUUGUGGGUACCAAGUAACCCAAUGCACUGGCAACAGUGGCUUAAAAUGAAUUUGUCAGCAAGAAAGAUGAGAUGAUAGCUGUUUAAUGUCUCAUGAAAUUUGUAUAAGUAAUCUAAAUAUAGUUAAGAACAGGUCCUUGAUUACUUAAACAACAAAACAAAAGAUAAAAAACAAACCCCAGUCUUCUCAAUAUUAAAAGAGCUAAGUUUUGUUUGUAUUUAUGUGACCUUUUGUAUUUGUCUUUAACAUCUAUUGUUACUUUGGUGAAAUAUUAUUUCAUGAUGAUCUCUGAUCCUAUUAAUCAAAUAUUUGAACCUUUUGACAUUUUCUCCAAAUAAAUAUCUACAUAUAGCCUUUGUGACCUCAAACUAACUUUCUAAUUUCUAAGAGUGCUUCAAAAUCUCAAAGGAUUUGUCUCCCACUUGGAAGAUGUUAAACUAAUUGGUUUAUUCCAUAUGUUAAAUUAUGUGGGAAACAUCAAUAAAAAAUAAUGCUAAACCUUAAUAGAAUGCAUCUAUACAAAUAUAACCUAAGUGUUUUAGAAAUUACAUUAAAUUUCUAGAAAUCUGAUAUUGUUCCUGUAUAAUAUUAUCAGUUAUAAUUCUGUUAUUAUCUUAAAAUUUUAUGUAUCACAGAAAUAACCAAAUUUCCUUGUCAAUUCCAUUAUAAUGAAUUCCCAUCAGAUCUUGUAACCAUGAGCACUUUUGAGGGUUUUGUUUUGUUUUUGUUUUUUUUUGGCAUUUCUGUGACAUUUUAUUCUGAUACUUUUGCAAAAGUUGGAUUCACAGAAGGGAUCCCUACCAAAUACUGUUGACCACUGACACCACUGCCAAAUUCCAAGGUGUCAAACCUCAGGUGCAUACAUCACAACUUUUGAAGUCUCCACCUGACAUCUGGUCCUGUGCAAAGAUGGAGACUUCAAAAUUAAAUUGGCUAUGAAGAGAGGUAGCCAAUGUCAAGGUACACUGCUUCCUUCAAGUAAUGUAUCUUUCUGUCCUUCCCUCUCUAAUCAUCCUCUUCCUAAUAUUUAACACUAUGAAGUUCUUUUUGAUUAUUUUGUUCACAUCUGCCUUGCUCUGUCCUGGAAAGAUAAUGCUACAGUUCAUAUUUAUCAGGCCAUUGCAAGGGGCGUAAUCCAACCUCAAAAUAAGUGGUAAGUUUACCACUAUGCUGAUAAUCCUAUAGUUCUACCCAUGACAACCUUUUCCUUGAUUUUCAAUGCCUCAGCUUCUCUGAAACAAACUCAGCCCUCUCGUUCAUAUCAGACUCUCUAACCCUGGUCCAUUUCCUUGUCUUUGGUACCAACCUUAAACCCAGAAAACCUUGUAUCCAAGCGUGGUACAAAGAAAGGGACACAAUGCAAGGUUAACCAGAAUAAAACUCCCUGUGACCUACAGAUGCUUACAUUUUACGGGUCUCCAUGGCUGUCAUUUUUCCAGCCCUAAGCCAUAGACACAAAUAGAAAAUAUGAUGAUGCAUUCAUGACUCAAUAUUAGCUAUUUUUGGCAAAUCCCUACCUUCCCUGGCUAGAAGUGCCAAUGAGGCUAUGACCAGGAACCUCUGGUAAAUGCUUCAAGAUAUUAUAGAUUCUGCUGUUAAAGCAAUAGUUCCCAAGAACAAAAUCCCUGCACUUUCUGGCCAAAAUGGUUCUGGAUACUAAGGUAGACCUUGAUUACUUUUUAGUUUAGUAAGGAGGUGUUUGUGCUAUGGCCAAUACCACUUGCUGCACUUGGAUGAACAUUUCCGGGGAAGUUGAGACUCAGCUACAUAAAGACCACUGAAUAAACCAGGUGGAUUAAAAAGUGAGUCCUUCAGUGAGGACUUUCUUUGACUUACUUGAUUUUGAUUGGUUUGGGUCUUGGGGACUAUGACUUUGAAGUAGACUCCAGACAUUGGGAAUUAUCCUACCUAUAACAAUCAUAGUAGCCUCACGAAUAUGUUGUAUUCUCUCAAAAGUUUAAGAUGCAUUUUCACAGCCUUAAUCACCAACUGAAAAACCUCCCUACAACUAGAAUAUCAGAAAGGGAAUGAAGAAAAUGACCAGCUUGAAGAAAGUGAACCAAACAUCAUAACCUGAGAAUACCAAAAAGAGAUUCAGCAAAAACCUCUAGCAACUCCACAGUGAUGUCUUACAUUUUGGUCUCAUUCUGAGAUUCUGAUUGAAAGUGUGGGGAGGGAUAUUAAGACAAUAGACCCAAGGGGUGCCUGGGGGGUUCAACUGGCUAAACGUCUGCCUUUUGCUCUUACAGUCUUGGGAUGAGGCCUGAGUCAGGUUUCUUGCUCAGCGGGGUGUCUGCUUCUCCCUCAAAUAAUAAAAUCUUUAAAAAAAAAAAAAAAAAAAAACGAAUGUU